rnacentral:rRNA from 1 species
AGAACGAACGCUGGCGGCAGGCCUCAAACAUGCAAGUCUAGGGGGGCGUAGCAAUACGUCACCGGCGGACGGGUGCGUAACACGUGGGAAUGUACUUAUUGGUUCGGAACAACUCAGGGAAACUUGAGCUAAUACCGAAUGUGCCCGUAAGGGGAAAGAUUUAUCGCCAAUAAAUCAGCCCGCGUCCGAUUAGCUAGUUGGUGGGGUAAAGGCUCACCAAGGCGACGAUCGGUAGCUGUUCUGAGAGGAAGAUCAGCCACACUGGGACUGAGACACGGCCCAGACUCCUACGGGAGGCAGCAGUUGGGAAUAUUGCGCAAUGGGCGAAAGCCUGACGCAGCGACGCCGCGUGGGGGAUGAAGCUUCUCGGAGUGUAAACCCCUUUCGACCCCGGACGAAUGACCCGCAAGGGUUUGACGGUACGGGUAUAAGAAGCCCCGGCUAACUACGUGCCAGCAGCCGC